AGCUUUGCACAGUGGUAGUAUCAUAGCCAAUGAGGUUUAUCCAAGGCAAGAUUUUUGCUAACUGAAAAAGUUUUAUUAAAGAC
rnacentral:snRNA from 1 species